UAGAUUGGGAUGAAGCAACAGUACAUUAAUCCAACACUUGAUCUGAGAUAUUUAUAUCCAAGUGAUGUUAAAUUCUAUGCUUCUGAAUCUAU
rnacentral:snoRNA from 11 species